rnacentral:rRNA from 1 species
CAGUAGCCACGGUAAUACGAAGGGUGCAAGCGUUACUCGGAAUCACUGGGCGUAAAGCGUGCGUAGGUGGUGGUUUAAGUCCGUUGUGAAAGCCCUGGGCUCAACCUGGGAAUUGCAGUGGAUACUGGGUCACUAGAGUGUGGUAGAGGAUAGUGGAAUUUCCGGUGUAGCAGUGAAAUGCGUAGAGAUCGGAAGGAACAUCUGUGGCGAAGGCGACUAUCUGGGCCAACACUGACACUGAGGCACGAAAGCGUGGGGAGCAAACAGGAUUAGAUACCCUUGUAGUCCCUGUCUCUUAUAC